rnacentral:rRNA from 1 species
GUACCUGCAGAGGAAGUCACGGCUAACUCUGUGCCAGCAGCCGCGGUAAUACAGAGGUGGCGAACGUUGUUCGGAUUUACUGGGCGUAAAGGGUCCGCAGGCGGUUUGGUGUGUCGGAUGUGAAAGCUCACAGCUCAACUGUGGAAAUGCAUUCGAAACUGCCGAACUAGAGUACUGGAGGGGAGAAGGGAACACUUGGUGUAGCGGUGAAAUGCGUAGAUAUCAAGUGGAACACCGGAGGCGAAGGCGCUUCUCUGGACAGAUACUGACGCUCAUGGACGAAAGUUAGGGUAGCGAAAGGGAUUAGAUACCCCUGUAGUCCUAACCGUAAACGGUGUGCACUAGGCGUGGGUGGCUUUACCCCCAUCCGUGCCUGAGCUAAC